GGUGAUAGCAUGGUGGUUAUGCACAAGACUUUCAUGGCUGAGGCUUCAAGGUCCCAGGUUCAAUCCCUGGUAUCACCA
rnacentral:tRNA from 1 species